rfam:Felis catus isolate Cinnamon breed Abyssinian chromosome C1, whole genome shotgun sequence.
GCCUGGCUGGCUCAGUCUGUAGAGCAUAUGACUCUCGAUCUUGGGGUUGUGAGUUUGAAUCCCAUGUUGGGUG